AAAUUGCUGUGCCAGCAAAGCAAUCUUGUGACUAUUAUAAAAGGGACAUUCCUGUCAUAUGUGACGUAUGCUCUUUGUUCCCAGAUGACUAUACAAACAUUCUG